UCCGUAGGCGGGUAAUUAAGUCAGAGGUGAAAUCCCACAGCUUAACUGUGGAACUGCCUUAGAUACUGGUUAUCUUGAGGUUUAGUGAAGUAGAUAGAAUGUGUAGUGUAGCGGUGAAAUGCAUAGAUAUUACACAGAAUACCGAUUGCGAAGGCAGUCUACUAACUAACAACUGACGCUAAUGGACGAAAGCGUGGGGAGCGAACAGGAUUAGAUACCCUGGUAGUCC
rnacentral:rRNA from 1 species